rnacentral:rRNA from 1 species
GAUGAACGCUGGCGGCGUGCCUAAUACAUGCAAGUCGAGCGAACAGACGAGGAGCUUGCUCCUCUGACGUUAGCGGCGGACGGGUGAGUAACACGUGGAUAACCUACCUAUAAGACUGGGAUAACUUCGGGAAACCGGAGCUAAUACCGGAUAAUAUAUUGAACCGCAUGGUUCAAUAGUGAAAGACGGUUUUGCUGUCACUUAUAGAUGGAUCCGCGCCGCAUUAGCUAGUUGGUAAGGUAACGGCUUACCAAGGCAACGAUGCGUAGCCGACCUGAGAGGGUGAUCGGCCACACUGGAACUGAGACACGGUCCGGACUCCUACGGGAGGCAGCAGUAGGGAAUCUUCCGCAAUGGGCGAAAGCCUGACGGAGCAACGCCGCGUGAGUGAUGAAGGUCUUCGGAUCGUAAAACUCUGUUAUUAGGGAAGAACAAAUGUGUAAGUAACUAUGCACGUCUUGACGGUACCUAAUCAGAAAGCCACGGCUAACUACGUG